rnacentral:rRNA from 1 species
CGCAAGCCUGACGGAGCUACACCGCGUGAGGGAAGACGGCCUUUGGGCUGUAAACCUCUUUUCUCAGGGAAGAAGACCUGACGGUACCUAAGGAAUAAGCAUCGGCUAACUCCGUGCCAGCAGCCGCGGUAAUACGGAGGAUGCAAGCGUUAUUCGGAAUUAUUGGGCGUAAAGCGUCCGCAGGGGGCUCAUCAAGUCUGCUGUCAAAGGUCGGAGCUCAACUCCGGUUCGGCAGUGGAAACUGGUGGGCUAGAGGGCGACAGGGGUAGAGGGAAUUCCCAGUGUAGCGGUGAAAUGCGUAGAGAUUGGGAAGAACACCGGUGGCGAAAGCGCUCUACUGGGUCGCACCUGACCCUCAGGGACGAAAGCUAAGGUAGCG